AGAGUUUGAUUAUGGCUCAGGAUUAACGCUGGCGGCGUGCCUAACACAUGCAAGUCGAACGAAAUAUCUUCGGAUAUUUAGUGGCGAACGGGUGAGUAAUGUACAGGUAAUGUACCUUCGUACUGCGAAUAACAAGCUGAAAAGUUUGCUAAUACGGAAUAGUUUCAUUAGGGGGCAUCCUUUGAUGAAUAAAGAUUUAUCGUGCGGAGAUCAGCCUGUAUCCUAUUAGUUAGUUGGUGGGGUAAUGGCCUACCAAGACGACGAUGGGUAACUGGUCUGAGAGGAUGAGCAGUCACAUUGGAACUGAGAUACGGUCCAAACUCCUACGGGAGGCAGCAGUGAGGAAUUUUGCGCAAUGGGGGAAACCCUGACGCCAGCAACGCCGUGUGAGUGAAGACGGCCUUCGGGUUGUAAAGCUCUGUCGUGUAUGACGAGUAGGGACGGUAAUACACAAGGAAGCCUCGGCUAACUACGUGCCAGCCGCCGC
rnacentral:rRNA from 1 species